ensembl:lncRNA
ACUUUUUUAAACUCCCCCAGACUGGGCAUCAUCUUCAGACUCUUCAUCCCCUGAUUUCUUAGGUGGAGAGUCUGCAGAGGUUUUCUUUCUGGAGGGUUUUCUGGUUCCUCCUCUUCUUCUUUGGGAGGAUGAGUCUUUUCCUUUGAUGCCUCUGAAGCUGUGAGAUGACCUACUUUCCGUUUGCCUGUCACAAGGCCUAGUGUCCCUGCAGCCUUUAGUCUUGGUUUGGGCAUUUUCUUUUCUUUUUUCUCAGGUUUGGGCUUCUUUUUUUUUUUUUUUUUUUCUUUUUUAGGUUUGGACUUCUUAACCAUCUUUUUGUUUUCCUUUUUCAAGCUGCCAUAGUCAGUGCCAUAAUCAUCUUCCAUUAGGAAAUCAUAAUUGCUGCUAGAAUCUUUCUCCUGGAAUUGUGCCCCAUCCUCCUCUUGUUCUUCACUGCCCACAUCUUCCAUGAGCAUCUCUCUCUGUUUGGAAGCUGCUUUAGAGGCUGCCUGCCCUUUCUUGCACACAUUCUUAUGGGCUUCUUUUUCAUCAUCCCUGGCCUCUGCUGAGUGAGAAUCAUCCUUGGUCUUCACAUCUUUUUAUUCUGAGUCUUCACUAUCCUCCUGUGAAUUCUUUCCUAUCACCUCUUAUUUUUAGCUUCUCCAGGAAAUGACUGAAUUUUCUUAGCUGUAAGGCCUAAAUCUCUUCCAUAAACCUUCUCAGUAUCAUUAAAUCCCUGGCACCAAAUAAUCAAUGACCUUUCUAUUUCUCACAGGCAGAGACAUUUUCUCUGUUGAAACAGGAUUGAGUCAAGAAGCCAAAGACCAGGCCUGUCACCCACCCCUACACGCAGUCAGCACAUCGCCUUUCAACUUUGGUCCAUGGAGCUGCUGCUGCCAAACCCCAACCUGCUGGCUUCUCAAAUUCUGCCACUUCUUGGAUCAGGGCCCCUUAAUCAGCCUCCAGGGACACCAUAUUGUCUCCUUGAGGCAAGACCCAGAAAUGGACAAGAACUCCUUUCCCAUCUUGCUGCUUUCUUAACAAAGAAAAGGCAUCAUUUCAAGGCUGAGAAUGAGGUUCCAAGGUUGAAGAGUCAAAUAUUGGUUCUCUGUGGGUACAUGAAAUGAGUUUUUCUUCCCUACCCUGUCUUUUCGUUAUGUCUGUAUCAGUGUCCUGUUGCAGAGAAAAGAAUCUACUCUAGUCAAUAUAACCAGAAGGGAUUUACUUGAGAAUGUUAAAUGCCACACAAGAUCAUUAGGAGUGUUGAAGACCCUGACUCUUGAUGAGGUUUUCAGGAAUCAUUCAGAAAGCUACACUGCAGAACUGGGCUGUCCUUGCCACUGUCCAGAAGCUGUAAGAGCAGGAAACUGCAUAUGACAUCAAGAGGAUNUUAAGGGAGCUGCUGUCCCUGCCACUGUCCAGAAGCUGUAAGAGCAGGAAACUGCAUAUGACAUCAAGAGGAUGAUGCUACAACAUCUGCCAGCUCCAGGGCGACACUACAUCUGCCAAUAGCUGCACCAGUAAAAUGGACUUCUGGUAUCCUGAUUCCCUAGCCAUAUGACUUAGUUUGAAAUAAAAAUUUUGUCCUAGUUCA